AUAUUGCACAAUGGGCGCAAGCCUGAUGCAGCCAUGCCGCGUGUGUGAAGAAGGCCUUCGGGUUGUAAAGCACUUUCAGCGGGGAGGAAGGNCUUUAGGUUAAUACNCUUGNGGUAUUGACGUUACUCNCAGAAGAAGCACCGGCUAACUCCGUGCCAGCAGCCGCGGUAAUACGGAGGGUGCAAGCGUUAAUCGGAAUUACUGGGCGUAAAGCGCCCGCAGGCGGUUUGUUAAGUCNGAUGUGAAAUCCCCGGGCUCAACUUGGGAACUGCAUUGGAAACUGGCAAGCUAGAGUCUGGUAGAGGGGGGUGGAAUUCCNGGUGUAGCGGUGAAAUGCGUAGAGAUCGGGAGGAACACCGGUGGCGAAGGCGGCCCCCUGGAC
rnacentral:rRNA from 1 species